GACGAACCGUACGAACGUUAUUCGGAAUUACUGGGCUUAAAGGGUGCGUAGGCGGCGCAGUAAGUUGGGUGUGAAAUCCCUCGGCUUAACCGAGGAAUUGCGCCCAAAACUACUGUGCUCGAGGGAGGUAGAGGUGAGCGGAACUUAGGGUGGAGCGGUGAAAUGCGUUGAUAUCCUAAGGAACACCGGUGGCGAAAGCGGCUCACUGGACCUCUUCUGACGCUGAGGCACGAAAGCUAGGGUAGCAUACGGG
rnacentral:rRNA from 1 species